UGGAGAGGUACCGAAGCGGUCAUAACGGGGCGGUCUUGAAAACCGUUAGGGUGCAAGCCCACGUGGGUUCGAAUCCCACCUUCUCCGCCAA
rnacentral:tRNA from 1 species